AUGAGUGGGCCACAACAGUGGGCCUCUUCACCUCCUGGCUUCUGGGUAGGUUUGGCUAAGGAGCGUCGUGGCUGGAGAUCUGAAGAUGGUCAGAGAUGGUCUCGGCUCUCCCACAAUGAGCUACCUCAAUACUCAAAGAUGAUUAAUCACAUCCUGGAUGGGAGAGAGAACCACACAGACGCGUGGAGGUUUCCCUCAGACUAGGACUCCGAGUGCUGCACCAUUGCCUUGCUCCCUGACCUAACACUGGAUGAACAGACGCACCAGUAUCCACCGUGGUGGACAGAAGAAUUCCCUGAGACUCUCUGACCAUUAAACCUCAAUCCCUGUUAAGAAGCCUUCUGUUGCCUUCCUUGUGAAUUCAACUAGUACUUACUGAGCACCUCCAAUGUGUGAAUCACUGUGCUGUGUGAGUGCUGCAGGAAUCACAUUCCCAAGAAGGAGCAAUGAGAUGAGGACAAAAACAGCCAUUGUUCAAG
rnacentral:lncRNA from 1 species